rnacentral:tRNA from 1 species
GCGGGCGUCGUAUAAUGGUUAUUAUCGUAGCUUCCCAAGCUACUGACGUGGGUUCGAUUCCCAUCGCCCGCU